UGGGGAAUAUUGCACAAUGGAGGGAACUCUGAUGCAGCGACGCCGCGUGAACGAAGAAGGCUUUCGAGUCGUAAAGUUCUUUUAUAUGGGAAGAUAAUGACGGUACCAUAAGAAAAAGCCCCGGCUAACUACGUGCCAGCAGCCGCGGUAAUACGUAGGGGGCUAGCGUUGUCCGGAAUCACUGGGCGUAAAGGGUUCGCAGGCGGAAAUGCAAGUCAGGUGUAAAAGGCAGUAGCUUAACUACUGUAAGCAUUUGAAACUGCAUAUCUUGAGAAGAGUAGAGGUAAGUGGAAUUUUUAGUGUAGCGGUGAAAUGAGUAGAUAUUAAAAAGAAUACCGGUGGCGAAGGCGACUUACUGGGCUCAUUCUGACGCUGAGGAACGAAAGCGUGGGCAGCAAACAGG
rnacentral:rRNA from 1 species